CUUUCUUUGCUGGCGACCGGCGCACGGGUGAGUAACACGUAUCCAACCUGCCCUUUACUCGGGGAUAGCCUUUCGAAAGAAAGAUUAAUACCCGAUAGUAUAAUGAUUCCGCAUGGUUUCAUUAUUAAAGGAUUCCGGUAAGGGAUGGGGAUGCGUUCCAUUAGGUUGUUGGUGAGGUAACGGCUCACCAAGCCUUCGAUGGAUAGGGGUUCUGAGAGGAAGGUCCCCCACAUUGGAACUGAGACACGGUCCAA
rnacentral:rRNA from 1 species